ensembl:lincRNA
CACAGCACGAAGCCGAGAAAGAUGAGAGGCAGGAGCACUAGCCCAGAGUGAAGAGCAGUCCUCCAUCAGGCUGCGGACGAAAGCUUUGCAUGUGGUCAGGAGCUCAGGUGGGCCAAGGAAGGACUUUGCACGACGGAGGAUUCCCAGUCGGCGACUGGCUUUGGUGGCGAGGUUGGAAAUGUGACUUUCCCAGGAAAGAGCACGGCAGAUAGUGAGACCCAGAAGCUUGAAUGAAAUUACUUCAGAUUGAAUUGAGUCCAGGUGGGAUUUACUCAGGCUGUCAUCCUUGCGGGGUCAGCAAAAUGAGUGCCAGCUUGCUGGGAUCAUUGAGUCAUUCGAGAAUCCUGUGGCGAAGUGGCGACCCGUACAGGUAAAUGUGAAACAACAACAAACUUCUCCUGUCACGUGAUUAAGUGAAAAACAAUCCAAACAGACGAGUUAUUUGUCUGUGAGUUUUGAUUUUGUUUAUUGAACAUCAACUUUUGCAUUAUCAUCACGAAAAGGUCCUUCCUUCCUUCCCUUGGUAAGAAAUAGCAAACUUGUUUUGAAGGUUCUUCUUCUGCUUUUUAUUCUCAAUUUCAAUAGUUUGCUGAACUACACUUCAUUACACAAUAGCAAGUUUCGCGAUAGUAAAGUACAACAUGGAGUUUCCACAUCAAAACGUGGAAUAAAAAGCCUAACAUCCUUAGGGAACAAGCAUAAGAAAGGGGAAGAGAAUCAAAUGUGUCCAUGACGUUAUGGUCAAGUGACUUGUAAUUUACUUCUCUCGUUAAAACAAUUCGAGCAACUUCUAGUUAGCUUUAGUAAGUGACGGUAAGCUCUUUCGGUCGUGCAAAUUUUAACAAAGAAAUAAACAGCAUUGUCAAUCUCCUUGGUAUUUCCCCGAAACACCCCUUUUGGGGACCACCCACCUCCACAACCCGAAACACCCACAAGUUCUUAUUGCUGUGACCUUUUCUCAAUCACAUCCCAUACAUGGUGAAACCGAGAGGUGAAAGGUGCAAUCUGCUCUGCUUAUGUGGGUGGACGCUUCGCACUGGUAGAGUCCCCCAUCAUCCACCGUCAGGUUCUGCAGAGACAGCAUCCAUGUGGAUGCGUUCAAGGGGUGCACAGGUUGUUAAAAUCAAACAUCAACUCGAAGAGCAAAAUAUGCAAAGCUUCAUGUCCUUCCUUUCUGCAUCUCUCCUCACCCACCCUCUCAAGCAUUCUCCCUACCCCCCUCCCCCCCUCCGCUCUUUACAAAGCCUCGCCGUCCUGCACUCUCCCAACGCCUCCUCCCUGUCCCGAACUGCAUGGACCUCAAACAUUCGGGGCUUCCACUCCAACUUGAUAGAUCUCUCAAUCCAGGCCGCUUCCGAUAAACCAGACAUCAUCUGUUUAACAGAAUCCUUCCUCCCACAGGACGUCCCCGACUCCUUGGUGUCUCCUCGGUUCUCCAACCUGAUAGAUCUCUCAAUCCAGGCCGCUUCCGAUAAACCAGACAUCAUCUGUUUAACAGAAUCCUUCCUCCACAGGACGUCCCCGACUCCUUGGUGUCUCUCCCCGGUUCUCCAACCUGAUAGAUCUCUCAAUCCAGGCCGCUGCCGAUAAACCACACAUCAUCUGUUUAACAGAAUCCUUCCUCCCUCAGGACGUCCCCGACUCCUUGGUGUCUCUCCCCGGUUCUUCAACCUGAUAGAUCUCUCAAUCCAGGCCGCUGCCGAUCAACCACACAUCUUCUGUUUAACAGAAUCCUUCCUCCCACAGGACGUCCCCGACUCCUUGGUGUCUCUCCCCGGUUCUUCAACCUGAUGUUUAACAGAAUCCUUCCUCCCUCAGGACGUCCCCGACUCCUUGGUGUCUCUCCCCGUUUCUCCAACCCGAUAGAUCUCUCAAUCCAGGCCGCUGCUGAUAAUCCAGACAUCAUCUUUUUAACAGAAUCCUUCCUCCUUCAGGACGUCCCCGACUCCUUGGUGUCUCUCCCC